AGUCNUACAAGGUUUCCGUAGGUGAACCUGCGGAAGGAUCAUUAAAGAGUAAGGGUGCUCAGCGCCCGACCUCCAACCCUUUGUUGUUAAAACUACCUUGUUGCUUUGGCGGGACCGCUCGGUCUCGAGCCGCUGGGGAUUCGUCCCAGGCGAGCGCCCGCCAGAGUUAAACCAAACUCUUGUUAUUUAACCGGUCGUCUGAGUUAAAAUUUUGAAUAAAUCAAAACUUUCAACAACGGAUCUCUUGGUUCUCGCAUCGAUGAAGAACGCAGCGAAAUGCGAUAAGUAAUGUGAAUUGCAGAAUUCAGUGAAUCAUCGAAUCUUUGAACGCACAUUGCGCCCCUUGGUAUUCCGAGGGGCAUGCCUGUUCGAGCGUCAUUACACCACUCAAGCUAUGCUUGGUAUUGGGCGUCGUCCUUAGUUGGGCGCGCCUUAAAGACCUCGGCGAGGCCACUCCGGCUUUAGGCGUAGUAGAAUUUAUUCGAACGUCUGUCAAAGGAGAGGAACUCUGCCGACUGAAACCUUUAUUUUUCUAGGUUGACCUCGGAUCAGGUAGGGAUACCCGCUGAACUUAAGC
rnacentral:rRNA from 1 species